rnacentral:lncRNA from 1 species
AUAUAUAUAUAUAUAUAGAGAGAGAGAGAGAGAGAGAAUUAUGCUAUUAUACUAUCGAUCGAUAGUACCAAACGCUUGGUACUAUCGAAUUUUCGGCCAUUGGAUGAGAGGAUAUGCGGUUAGAAUGAUAGUGAUCUUUUAGGAUAGAGUGGAUAGUUGGUUGAAUAGUAUGAUCUAACGGGUGAAAAUAAUCAACAAGUGGAUCUAACGGCAGAAAACUCAAUAAUAUCAAAAGUUUAGUACUAUCAAUAAUAUAGUAGCCGAACUCUACAUAUAUAUAUAUAUAUAUAUAUAUAUAUGUAGUAGAGCUACUAUACUAUCGGAAAAAUAGAGGAUUUGAUGCUUUCGAUUUUUUGGCCCUUAAAUUAAUUUCUUUAAUAAUUUCUAAUCUUUGGAUUAAUACUAUUAUCAUAUAAAGACCACUCAAUCCUAUGGAUACUACUCAACCCUAGAGGGGACCGCAAUUAUUCUAAUUGUAUAAUUCUUAAUCCAAUGAUCAAAAAAUUAAAAGUAUCAAAUUUUCUAUAUUUUCGAUAGUAUAGUAGCUCUACACUAUAUAAAUAUAUAUACAACUCUCCACCACAAGCCUACAA